GAUGAACGCUGGCGGCGUGCCUAAUACAUGCAAGUCGAGCGAAUGGAUUAAGAGCUUGCUCUUAUGAAGUUAGCGGCGGACGGGUGAGUAACACGUGGGUAACCUGCCCAUAAGACUGGGAUAACUCCGGGAAACCGGGGCUAAUACCGGAUAACAUUUUGAACCGCAUGGUUCGAAAUUGAAAGGCGGCUUCGGCUGCCACUUAUGGAUGGACCCGCGUCGCAUUAGCUAGUUGGUGAGGUAUCGGCUCACCAAGGCAACGAUGGGUAGCCGACCUGAGAGGGUGAUCGGCCACACUGGGACUGAGACACGGCCCAGACUCCUACGGGAGGCAGCAGUAGGGAAUCUUCCGCAAUGGACGAAAGUCUGACGGAGCAACGCCGCGUGAGUGAUGAAGGCUUUCGGGUCGUAAAACUCUGUUGUUAGGGAAGAACAAGUGCUAGUUGAAUAAGCUGGCACCUUGACGGUACCUAACCAGAAAGCCACGGCUAACUACGUGCCAGCCGCCGCCGUAA
rnacentral:rRNA from 1 species